UACGUAGGGACCAAGCGUUGUUCGGAUUUACUGGGCGUAAAGGGCGCGUAGGCGGCGUGGUAAGUCACUUGUGAAAUCUCGGAGCUUAACUCCGAAACUGCAUUCGAUACUGCCGUGCUUGAGGACUGGAGAGGAGACUGGAAUUUACGGUGUAGCGGUGAAAUGCGUAGAUAUCGUAAGGAAGACCAGUGGCGAAGGCGGGUCUCUGGACAGUUCCUGACGCUGAGGCACGAAGGUCAGGGGAGCAAACGGG
rnacentral:rRNA from 1 species